GGACUACAGGGGUAUCUAAUCCUGUUUGCUCCCCUAGCUUUCGCGCUUCAGCGUCAGGUCUGGCACAGAAAACCGUCUUCACCACUGGUGUUCUUCCACAUAUCUACGCAUUUCACCGCUACACGUGGAAUUCCGUUUUCCCUUACCAUCCUCUAACCUCGGAAGUUUCAAAUGCAGCUCUGGGGUUGAGCCCCAGAAUUUCACAUCUGACUUUCCAAGCCGCCUACGCGCCCUUUACGCCCAGUAAUUCCGAUCAAUGCUUGCACCCUCCGUAUUACCGCGGCGGCUGGCAC
rnacentral:rRNA from 1 species